AACAAGGAUAAUCUUUGUCAAGGUCUGCAACCAUUCAGAAGUGGAGCGCUAAGUCUUCAUUUAUUCACUGUAAUUUAAGGUUUAGUAUGCCACUAAUAUAUUUUAAUGUUUUUAGAAG